CAGUAGCCACGGGAAUACGUAGGGGGCAAGCGUUGUCCGGAAUUACUGGGUGUAAAGGGAGCGUAGACGGUUAAACAAGCCUGAAGUGAAAUGCCGGGGCUCAACCCCGGAGCUGCUUUGGGAACUGUAGAACUGGAGUGUCGGAGGGGUAAGCGGAAUUCCCAGUGUAGCGGUGAAAUGCGUAGAUAUGCGGAGGAACACCGAUGGCGAAGGCAAUCCCCUGGACCUGUACUGACGCUCAUGCACGAAAGCGUGGGGAGCAAACAGGAUUAGAUACCCCUGUAGUCCCUGUCUCUUAUAA
rnacentral:rRNA from 1 species